ensembl:misc_RNA 7SK 7SK RNA
GGAUGUGAGGGCAAUCUGGCUGUGACAUUUGUCACCCCAUUGAUCGCCAGGGUUGAUUCAGCUGAUCUGGCUGGCUAGGCGGGUGUCCCCUUCCUCCCUCACUGCUCCAUGUGCGUCCCUCCCAAAGCUGCUUGCUUGGUUGAAGAAGACGGCCUUCCCCGAAUAGAGACAGACUGGUCUUGGGUCAAGACUAGUGCUCCCCAGCUAGAACCUCCAAACAAGCUCUCAAAAAUCAAUGUCAUUGAUUCAAAAUUAUCCAUAUGUGAAUAGUAAUAAUGU